rnacentral:rRNA from 1 species
GAAUAUGCUAUUGGAGUUCGAUUAAGCCAUGCGAGUCGAGAGGGUUCGGCCCUCGGCAUACCGCUCAGUAACACGUAGAUAAUUUACCCUUAGGUGAGAGAUUACCUCGGGAAACUGAGGAUAAUAUCUCAUAGGAUACGAUUGCUGGAAUGCAUCAUAUCUGAAAACUCCGGUGCCUAAGGAUAAGUCUGCGGCCUAUUAGGUAGUAGUGGGUGCAAGGUACCUACUAGCCUAUGAUGGGUACGGGCCUUGAGAGAGGGAGCCCGGAGAUGGACUCUGAGACACUAGUCCAGGCCCUAUGGGGCGCAGCAGGCGCGAAAACUUCGCAAUGUGAGAAAUCAUGACGAGGGAACUCCAAGCGCUAACACAUUGUGUUAGCUGUUCACAAACCUAAAAAGUUUGUGGAGUAAGGGCUGGGCAAGACUGGUGCCAGCCGCCGCGGUAAUACCAGCAGCUCAAGUGGGUAGUCACUAUUAUUGGGCCUAAAACGUCUGUAGUCGGUUUUGUAAAUUUUUGGGAAAAUCAGACAGCUUAACUGUUUGGAUUCCAAGAAGACUACAAAACUUGGAACCGGGUGAGGUUAGAAGUACGUUUGGGGUAGGGGUGAAACCCUGUAAUCCUAAACGGACUACCAGUGGCGAAGGCGUCUAACCAGAACGGCUUCGACGAUGAGAGACGAAACCCUGGGGCGCAAACGGGAUUAGAUACCCCGAUAGUCCAGGGCGUAAACGCUUUGGGCUUGGUGUUGAACGUUCUUUGUGGGCGUUCAGUGCCGAAGAGAAGUUGUUAAGCCUACUGCCUGGGGAGUAUGACCGCAAGGUUGAAACUUAAAGGAAUUGGCGGGGAGCACAGCAACGGGUGGAGCGUGCGGUUC